rnacentral:misc_RNA from 1 species
AGGAGAAAAAGAUGCUGGAGGUUGAGAAUAUUGAGCUAAGAAAAAUGCAAAGAGCUGGAGCAAUUUUUGAUGAGUUGAACACAGUGAGGGAGGAACUGAAUAACUUGAAAGAGGUGAAAAAAAGAAAGAAACUGGGACAUCAGUGAAUUAUGUCAUCAGUGGGAAAUUUUGUGAAUUUGUGGCACUAGCCUUACCUUAGGUGUUGUUGAUUUUAUCACUUGCUGCAACCAAAUGAAGUUGGG